rnacentral:rRNA from 1 species
UACGGGGGGAGCAAGCGUUGUUCGGAUUUACUGGGCGUAAAGGGCGCGUAGGCGGCCACCGCGAGUCGACUGUGAAAUCUCCGGGCUUAACCCGGAAAGGUCAGCCGAUACUGCGGGGCUAGAGUGCAGAAGGGGCAACUGGAAUUCUCGGUGUAGCGGUGAAAUGCGUAGAUAUCGAGAGGAACACCUGCGGCGAAGGCGGGUUGCUGGGCCGACACUGACGCUGAUGCGCGAAAGCCAGGGGAGCGAACGGG